GUUAGUUUGACCUUCUCUACUUUAGAGGAUGUUGAUGCUUUAGAGCUGCAACUGGAGGACAACAACUGUUGACAACAAAUUGAAACAGCUGUAAACAGUCCUUCCUACUUCUGAUCUCAGUGAAACUUAAGAAGGCGGGACUGCCAUAGACAGUGGCGAAGAACUGAAACUGAAAGUAAACCACAUACAGUUCUUUCCUCGGAAAUAUGUAUAAAAUAACAUUUCAUUAAUGUUAAUGAAAAUCUGAAAAAACACUCUCAAAGAGUCAUUCACAGAAGACUCAAUAGUCAAAAUGUGAGAUUACUUGAUAUAAACUGGAUUUGUCAUGGAUGGUUACACAAAGAGCUAGAUUCUUUGUCGUUGUGGUUUCAAAGGUACUUAUUAAUUGCCAGGGGGGUAUUCCAGAAAGCUGGGAAUGCGACAUAACCGGGUAAGUUAACUCUGCAGCUGACACACAAUGCUGCAGCAAUUUACUGGCAAUGUUGCUAGAACGCUGGCUGUCAUAUGAGGAGUUAACUUACCCGGGUAUGUUACAUAACCUGGUUUCUGGAAUAUCCCCCUGGUGUGUCACCUGUGUUGCUAUUGUCUUGCACAUUGCCUGUGUAUUUCUCCAUAAAUUAACCUGUGUAUUACCCCACAUACCCCACAUGUACUUAAAUGGUAUGUUAUGCCAGAUUGGUUUACAUUGUCUUGUCCUAAGAAUAUCAGUGCCCAGUCUGACCCUGUGUUGUUCUGUGCAUCUGACAAUAAAAAACUUGAACUUGGACUUGAACAUACAACAAUUGUUCAAUCCAAAACAUAUUUUUUACUGUAUUAUUUAAUAUUGCCUGCUUAAACACCUCAACUUCUCAAUAGGGAUACAUACAGUGAGGAAAUGCGCAGUAAAACAUCAGAAAUCGUAAAUCCAAUUAGUUUAUCCAAUGAUAAAUAGCACUGUUUGAAUAUCAGAGUUUCAAAUGUGUACGUUUUAUUCAUUUGUUGCAGAGCAUUAAUUGUAGAACACACUUCGACAUUUUAUAACUGGCAAUAUAAACAUAAAGGUUUUGUACAUUCGUACCUAUCCUUUCCAAAAUCUAAUCUAAUCUUUCCAAAUCUAGACAUUUCCGACAAUUGAAUUUUUAUGAGAAAUGAAUUUGUGGGAAUACAACUGACUAACACAGCUAUGAGAUUCUACUAUGUCUUUUAAUGGCAAACGUAUAAUGUAAUUGUGUGAGCUAAAUUGAAACAGCUUGUGAUUGUUCAGGGUAGAAGAUAAUUAUAACACCAAAGGAAAAUAUUAAAUAAUAAUUUAAAAACAAAUUCUAAGAAAUUCAUUUAAAGCUGAUACAACAAUAUAGGGCAUCUUAAGAAAACAAAAGUGUAAAGUGUUAAGAAAAUGUAAAAUCAAUCUUUGAGUAACGCCUUUACAUAUGCCUGUCCAGCAUCGACGAAUAGCAUGUCAGUAUCUACAUCUCGUAGCAUUAUUGGCCUACAGUAUAGUACAGUAGUUGUCCCAAAACCCAUUAUUUUUAGAUACAUUUUGAGAUAAAUCUGUAUUACCGCCCUCAAGGUCGACAUAUGUACUGUUUUCAAUAAUAAAACCAGCUUGUUUCAGGAAGUCAUCCAGAGAUAAGUUACGAAUAGUCAUGAGCAGAACUUUGUUGAUCUGAUAGGUGUGGUCAGGAUCAAAUCUCUUUUGGUCUUUAUGUGCCGUCACAAAUAUUUUAUGCACCUGCAGGUCUGGUCCCAUGCUUAUGAUUAUGCGAUCUUUGUUGUUGUCAUCCUGGGAGUGA